rnacentral:rRNA from 1 species
CCUACGGGAGGCAGCAGUGAGGAAUAUUGGUCAAUGGACGCGAGUCUGAACCAGCCAAAUCGCGUGAAGGAAGACUGCCCUAAGGGUUGUAAACUUCUUUUGUAUGGGAAUAAAAAAUGGCACGUGUGCUAUAUUGUAUGUACCAUACGAAUAAGGAUCGGCUAACUCCGUGCCAGCAGCCGCGGUAAU